GACGAACGCUGGCGGCGUGCCUAAUACAUGCAAGUCGAGCGGGCCUCCGGAGGUGCUUGCACCUCCGGAAGGCCAGCGGCGGACGGGUGAGUAACACGUGGGCAACCUGCCUUUGAGGCCGGGAUAACACCGGGAAACCGGUGCUAAUACCGGAUACGUCCUCUUUCGCGCCUGCGAGAGGGGAGAAAGACGGUCUUUAAGGCCGUCGCUCAAAGAGGGGCCCGCGGCGCAUUAGCUGGGUGGUGGGGUAAGGGCCUACCAAGGCGACGAUGCGUUGACGACCUGAGAGGGUGAUCGGCCACACUGGGACUGAGACACGGCCCAGACUCCUGCGGGAGGCAGCAGUAGGGAAUCAUCCGCAAUGGGCGAAAGCCUGACGGCGCAACGCCGCGUGAGUGAGGAAGGUUUUCGGAUCGUAAAGCUCUGUUGUGAGGGAAGAACAGCUUCCGGAGGAAAUGCCGGAGGUUCGCCGGUACCUCACCAGAAAGCCCCGGCUAACUACGUGCCAGCCGCCGCAGUAAAAC
rnacentral:rRNA from 1 species